rnacentral:rRNA from 1 species
UACGAAGGGGGCUAGCGUUGCUCGGAAUCACUGGGCGUAAAGCGCACGUAGGCGGAUUGCUAAGUCAGGGGUGAAAUCCUGGAGCUCAACUCCAGAACUGCCUUUGAUACUGGCGAUCUCGAGUCCGGGAGAGGUGAGUGGAACUGCGAGUGUAGAGGUGAAAUUCGUAGAUAUUCGGAAGAACACCAGUGGCGAAGGCGACUCACUGGACACAUAUUGACGCUGAGGUGCGAAAGCGUGGGGAGCAAACAGG